UACGUAGGGUGCAAGCGUUAUCCGGAUUCACUGGGCGUAAAGCGUUUCGUAGGCGGAUUAUUAAGUUGUUAGUGAAAGCCUCCAGCUCAACUGGAGAAUGUCUGACAAAACUAGUAAUCUAGAAUCUCAUAGGGGAGGCUGGAACUGUUGGUGUAGCAGUGAAAUGCGUUGAUAUCAACAGGAACACCGAGGGCGAAGGCAAGCCUCUGGGUGAGAAUUGACGCUGAGGAACGACAGCUAGGGGAGCGAAAGGG
rnacentral:misc_RNA from 1 species